GAUAUGGCUCAGGAUGAACGCUAGCGACAGGCUUAACACAUGCAAGUCGAGGGGCAGCGAGGGAGUGGCAACACUUCUGUCGGCGACCGGCGCACGGGUGAGUAACGCGUAUGCAACCUGCCCUUCACAGGGGGGAUAACCGGGAGAAAUUCCGACUAAUACCGCAUACGUCCUUUGGGGCAUCCCCGGGGGAUGAAAGAAUUAUCGGUGAAGGAUGGGCAUGCGUGAUAUUAGGUAGUUGGCGGGG
rnacentral:rRNA from 1 species